UACGUAGGGUGCGAGCGUUAAUCGGAAUUACUGGGCGUAAAGCGUGCGCAGGCGGUUUUGUAAGCCAGAUGUGAAAUCCCCGGGCUUAACCUGGGAACUGCGCUUGUAACUGGCAAGCUAGAGUGUGGCAGAGGGGGGUGGAAUUCCACGUGUAGCAGUGAAAUGCGUAGAUAUGUGGAGGAACACCGAUGGCGAAGGCAGCCCCCUGGGCUAACACUGACGCUCAUGCACGAAAGCGUGGGGAGCAAACAGG
rnacentral:rRNA from 1 species